rnacentral:rRNA from 1 species
CCCUUAGAUGUUCUGGGCCGCACGCGCGCUACACUGAUGCAUUCAACGAGUCUAAAACCUGGUCUGAUAGGGCUGGGUAAUCUUUUGAAAGUGCAUCGUGAUUGGGAUAGAUGAUUGCAAUUCUUCAUCUUCAACGAGGAAUGCCUAGUAAGCGCAAGUCAUCAGCUUGCGUUGAUUACGUCCCUGCCCUUUGUACACACCGCCCGUCGCUCCUACCGAUUGAAUGGUCCGGUGAAGCGUUCGGACCGUGGCCUUUGGACGGUUCGCCGUCUGUUGGCUGCGGGAAGUUCGUUAAACCUUAUCAUUUAGAGGAAGGAGAAGUCGUAACA